UGCAGCUGAAGGCUUGGGGGUCACAAUUCCAGGUCAGGACUUAGAGUCACAACUUGGGCUCAGAGACAAAAUUCCAAUUUAAGACUCAGGGUCACAAUUUCGGUGUGAGGUCACAAUUUGGCCUCAGGGUCACAAUUCAAUUCCAUUGUGAGGUCACAAUUCCAGUGUGAGGUCACAAUUUGGGCUCAGGGUCACAAUUCAAUUCCAUUGUGAGGUCACAAUUCCAGUGUGAGGUCACAAUUUGGACUCAGGGUCACAAUUCAAUUCCAUUGUGAGGUCACAAUUCCAGUGUGAGGUCACAAUUUGGCCU